rnacentral:snRNA from 1 species
AUCGCUUCUCAGCCUUUUGGCUAAGAUCAAGUGUAAUAAAAGAGACACUCAGAAAGCUUAGGAUGUUUUUCCAAAGUCACAGAAUAGGCCAAUGGCAGAGAUAGGAUUUUGAGUUUUCUCUGUAUUUUCUGUUAAAGGCAAAAGGUAUUUUAAUAUUGCACUUUUAUUUAAAGUAUGAUUGUU